CGCAUGAGACGUUGCGGCUAAGACUACCCUGAUUUCUUCUGGGUCAGCGGUUCCAGAGAUGCACCAAGAGCGGCGACAACACGAAAGUCGUUCGUCUAAUUAUCUCAGGUUGUCUGCGCCCCUCGUAAAACCCUUUGGGCACGCCUGACCGACUGACGGAUUAGGAAGAGUUGUUGGCCGUCGAGGCGGCUUGCUUUGUCGUCAAGGUGCCCCGGACAAAGGGCCCAGCGUCUGGGAACCGUCUGCGGAUGCAUUUCCCACGUUCUCCGUGGCGCCUUGGUGCCGCUGUUUCCACAAUUCGUGGUCUGCCUGGCGCCGCAUACCCAUCACUGCAACAGACUACGAAAUUGACUUCCACGUAAGACUCAAC